GUACAACUUUCAGCAAUGGAUGUCU
rnacentral:rRNA from 1 species